rnacentral:rRNA from 1 species
UACGAAGGGGGCUAGCGUUGCUCGGAAUCACUGGGCGUAAAGCGCACGUAGGCGGGUCUUUAAGUCAGGGGUGAAAUCCUGGAGCUCAACUCCAGAACUGCCUUUGAUACUGAGGAUCUCGAGUCCGGGAGAGGUGAGUGGAACUCCGAGUGUAGAGGUGAAAUUCGUAGAUAUUCGGAAGAACACCAGUGGCGAAGGCGGCUAC